rnacentral:rRNA from 1 species
AGAGUUUGAUCCUGGCUCAGGACGAACGCUGGCGGCGUGCCUAAUACAUGCAAGUCGAACGAAGCUUUCUUUCACCGAAUGCUUGCAUUCACCGAAAGAAGCUUAGUGGCGAACGGGUGAGUAACACGUAGGCAACCUGCCCAAAAGAGGGAUAACACUUGGAAACAGGUGCUAAUACCGCAUAACCAUGAACACCGCAUGAUGUUCGUGUAAAAGACGGCUUUUGCUGUCACUUUUGGAUGGGCCUGCGGCGUAUUAACUUGUUGGUGGGGUAACGGCCUACCAAGGUGAUGAUACGUAGCCGAACUGAGAGGUUGAUCGGCCACAUUGGGACUGAGACACGGCCCAAACUCCUACGGGAGGCAGCAGUAGGGAAUCUUCCACAAUGGACGAAAGUCUGAUGGAGCAACGCCGCGUGAAUGAAGAAGGCCUUCGGGUCGUAAAAUUCUGUUGUCAGAGAAGAAUGUGCGUGAGAGUAACUGUUCACGUAUUGACGGUAUCUGACCAGAAAGCCACGGCUAACUACGUGCCAGCAGCCGCGGUAAUACGUAGGUGGCAAGCGUUGUCCGGAUUUAUUGGGCGUAAAGGGAACGCAGGCGGUCUUUUAAGUCUGAUGUGAAAGCCUUCGGCUUAACCGAAGUAGUGCAUUGGAAACUGGAAGACUUGAGUGCAGAAGAGGAGAGUGGAACUCCAUGUGUAGCGGUGAAAUGCGUAGAUAUAUGGAAGAACACCAGUGGCGAAAGCGGCUCUCUGGUCUGUAACUGACGCUGAGGUUCGAAAGCGUGGGUAGCAAACAGGAUUAGAUACCCUGGUAGUCCACGCCGUAAACGAUGAGUGCUAAGUGUUGGAGGGUUUCCGCCCUUCAGUGCUGCAGCUAACGCAUUAAGCACUCCGCCUGGGGAGUACGGUCGCAAGACUGAAACUCAAAGGAAUUGACGGGGGCCCGCACAAGCGGUGGAGCAUGUGGUUUAAUUCGAAGCAACGCGAAGAACCUUACCAGGUCUUGACAUCUUCUGACAAUUCCAGAGAUGGAACGUUCCCUUCGGGGACAGAAUGACAGGUGGUGCAUGGUUGUCGUCAGCUCGUGUCGUGAGAUGUUGGGUUAAGUCCCGCAACGAGCGCAACCCUUAUUGUCAGUUGCCAUCAUUAAGUUGGGCACUCUGGCGAGACUGCCGGUGACAAACCGGAGGAAGGUGGGGAUGACGUCAAAUCAUCAUGCCCCUUAUGACCUGGGCUACACACGUGCUACAAUGGACGGUACAACGAGUCGCUAACUCGCGAGGGCAAGCUAAUCUCUUAAAGCCGUUCUCAGUUCGGAUUGCAGGCUGCAACUCGCCUGCAUGAAGUCGGAAUCGCUAGUAAUCGCGAAUCAGCAUGUCGCGGUGAAUACGUUCCCGGGCCCUGUACACACCGCCCGUCACACCAUGAGAGUUUGUAACACCCAAAGUCGGUGGGGUAACCUUUUGGAGCCAGCCGCCUAAGGUGGGACAGAUGAUUGGGGUGAAGUCGUAACAAGGUA